CAACACCGCAUCAGCUGUUGGUGGAAGUAGUCCGAUGGCCGAUUAGUAGGUGUUAUAUCGAAAUAUGAAAACUGGAUUUGCAAGUAAAUUAACUUGGUGUGGUGUAAUAGAAAACGGAAAUUGUGCAUGGCAAGUGUAAUUAAUAUUUAAUUACAGUACAUUAGUGUAGUGAUUCAUGGAAAAUCUAAAUAUACCUAUUCAUACAUAAAGAUAUUAAAAUGUAGCAAAUACAUAUUACCAGUUGGUUUUUAGAUUUACUCUGCUGUUUACUAUUUAUUAUAAAAAAACAAGGAAGAUAAUAAUGGCACAAUCUGACAGAACUGAUGAUAGCAAUUUAUUAUCCAAAACAGUCAAAACUGAAAGUCUUAAUGAUGAUGUUUCUACUCCUGCUGACAACAAUUUCAGAGGAAAAGCCAUAGACUUUCAAUUUUCUAUCCAGCCAAAAGUUGAACAAUGUGAAAUAAAAGAUGAAGUUGAGGAAUUAGAAUUUGUGGGAAAAGCUAUAGACUUUCAAUUUUCUAUCCAGCCAAAAAUUGAACAGUCUGAAAUAAAAGAUGAAGUUGAGGAAUUAGAAUUUGUGGGAGAAGCUAUAGACUUUUUUGAGAAUGAACAGUCUGAUUUAGAAGAAAGGCAAGAACCUGAAUCAAAGGAAUCAUAUUUGUGUGAACAAUGUAAUGUGGAAUCUUGUUACAAAAAACAUGACUUGCACGCAGAUUUUAUUCGUAUUACAACCAAACCAUUAAAUCAAUCAAAUCCAUAUGAAUGUGCUACAUGUAGCAUAAAGAUUUUGAAUCCUACAAUAGCCUUAUUUCAUUUGUCCCUGCAUGACAAAGACAGUUUCAGGUGCUAUAAAUGCAAUUGCAUUCUACUGGAAUUUUCUGAUUUUUUGGAGCAUAUAGAGAAACUUCAUUCUAAAGACAAGGAUUAUUAUCGAUGUGUCGAGUGUAAUUUUGUGACCUUCUGGCAUGUCCAGUAUGUUGCCCAUAAGAAUAAGUUUCAUAAACCAAAAGUGUUUCAUAAAUGCAAACUGUGUGACCAAUUGUGGCCAACCAGAAAUCAUAAUUUACAUGAGAAGAUGUUACAUAUUAGAAACAAAUAUGGAAGGAAUCCAUAUGUGUGCAAGAAAUGUGAGAUUGAAUUAGUUGAUCCCGAUGAAAUAUAUGAUCACUUAAAGAUACAUGGUGAUAUAGGAAUAUUUUGCAGUUUUUGUGCCUUUACUUCCGAAAAUCUUAAAGACCUUGAAAAUCACAAAAAAGAUAACCAUGCAGAAGAAAUUGAAAAACAAAGUAUUCUACGGGAAAGCUGUAAAGAAUAUAUGGAGAAUUAUAAUGAUGUAAAAUGUGAAUUAUGUAAUAGAUACUGGCCAGAUAAAAUUCAUAAAAAUCACGAAAAAAUGAUACUAGUUGAAAAACAAGUAACAGAAGAUAAUCCGUAUAAAUGUAAGACAUGUAACGAAAAAACAUGUGACCUACGAGAAGUUUACAGACAUGUGAAUCGGUAUUGUAGGCAUACGAUUAAAUGUCCAUUUUGUUCAAAAAAGUUUAGAGUGAGGACAGUUUUAGAUAACCAUAUUAUAAGAGAACAUCCAGAUAAAGAAUCCGUAAUGGGUAACCGUCUUUUAAAAUGCAAGCUUUGUGAAUAUUCAACAGUAGUACGUGGAUAUUUCAAAACUCACUUAAAUACCCACAAGAGUAUGGAAGAUAGGCAACAAUAUAACUGUAAUGAAUGUGAUUUUACAACUACGUCGUCCGCUUACUUAAAGAAACACAGACUCGCUAAGCAUCCGGUGGAGUCUGAUAAACUUUAUACUUGCGAUAAAUGUACUUACAGUUCACAUUUAAUGUCACGUAUAAAAAGUCAUUUAAAGACUCAUGUAAAUAAUGAAGUGUUAAAAUGUGAUAUUUGUAAUGCUUUAUUUACACGCGAAAGGGGUCUGCAAGAACAUAAAAACAAUAGACGGCGCACGUCCCCGGUGUCGCCCCGUUCCGUUGUACCGUUGAUUGAUAAAUAUACAAGAAGAUAUACAACCAAACGGGCAUUUAUGUACGACACCGUAGGUUUGAGAUGUAGAUGGCACUAACAGUUUUCUGGGUCCGAGAAUGAAGUUUACCUGAAACGUAUUCAGGUAAAUUUGGUUGUCGGAAUAUGGCGGAAUAUGUCGGAACUGGUUUGAGAUUAAAGACCCAAAGGCCAGGCAUUUUCAAGAAAAGCCGGAAAAGAAACAAUAUGUAUGUGAAAUAUGUGCAAAAGUUUAUACUUUUAAACCUUCUCUAGUACAACAUCUGUAUUGCGCCCAUCAGCAAGGUGACUUGAACGUCUACAUAUGUUAUUCAUGCAAAUAUAAAAGUUACAACAGAACCAAAUUCAUUGCACAUACGAAAAUGCAUAUGAAACAGGAGUUUUUAUAUUGCGCCAAUUGCGAAUAUAAAACUGUUAGAAAAUUGAAUCUGAUGCAGCAUAUGGUUAAACACAUGGACUCAUCGAAAAUGCAGUU
rnacentral:misc_RNA from 1 species